GAAGGAUCAUUAAAGAGUAAGGGUGCUCAGCGCCCGACCUCCAACCCUUUGUUGUUAAAACUACCUUGUUGCUUUGGCGGGACCGCUCGGUUCCGAGCCGCUGGGGAUUCGUCCCAGGCGAGUGCCCGCCAGAGUUAAACCAAACUCUUGUUAUUAAACCGGUCGUCUGAGUUAAAAUUUUGAAUAAAUCAAAACUUUCAACAACGGAUCUCUUGGUUCUCGCAUCGAUGAAGAACGCAGCGAAAUGCGAUAAGUAAUGUGAAUUGCAGAAUUCAGUGAAUCAUCGAAUCUUUGAACGCACAUUGCGCCCCUUGGUAUUCCGAGGGGCAUGCCUGUUCGAGCGUCAUUACACCACUCAAGCUAUGCUUGGUAUUGGGUGCCGUCCUUAGUUGGGCGCGCCUUAAAGACCUCGGCGAGGCCACUCCGGCUUUAGGCGUAGUAGAAUUUAUUCGAACGUCUGUCAAAGGAGAGGAACUCUGCCGAUUGAAACCUUUAUUUUUCUAGGUUGACCUCGGAUCAGGUAGGGAUACCCGCUGAACUUAA
rnacentral:misc_RNA from 1 species